AUUGAACGCUGGCGGCAGGCCUAACACAUGCAAGUCGAACGAGUGGCGGCCGGGUGAGUAAUGUCUGGGAAAAUGCCUGAUAGAGGGGGAUAACUACUGGAAACGGUAGCUAAUACCGCAUACCAUCAGAUGUGCCCAGAUGGGAUUAGCUAUUUGGUGGGGUAACAGCUGCCCAAGGCGACUAUCCCUAGCUGGUCUGAGAGGAUGAACAGCCACACUGGAGUGUAGACACGUUCCAUAUGCCGCCGGGAGGCAGCAUUGGGGAAUAUUGCACAAUGGGCGCAAGCCUGAUGCAGCCAUGCCGCGUGUAUGAAGAAGGCCUUCGGGUUGUAAAGUACUUUCAUCGGGGAGGCGUUACCCGCAUAAGAAGCACCGGCUAACUCCGUGCCAGCAGCCGCGGUAAUAC
rnacentral:rRNA from 1 species